AAAAAACACACAAACCUUUCCAAAGCCCCAGCCAAUACACUUCCAAGUGUAUCUCAGUGGUCAGAAAAGUGGCACAUGGCCACCACCAGCUGUGUGAAAACCUAAGAAAUUAAAUUCUUUAGUUGGGCACAUUGGGGUUCUGCUAGAAACGUAACCUAAGUCUGGAGCUAGACUACCUUUUGAGAAUCUCAGCUCUGCCACUCAUUAGUUAUAUGAUUUUAGGUGAUUCAUUUCACUUGCCUCCCCUGUAAAGGGAGAUAAGAUAAUAAUAGGGUUGCUAAGUAUUAAUUGAGUUAAUAUUUUUAAAGUGUUUAGAACUGUAUCUGGUAUACAGUAAAUGUUAUAUAAGCACUUUCAAUAAAUGAGUAAGGUAAAGAGUGAAUAUUAGGUAGAAAAGUGGCAAGCAUGAAAUAAAUCAUGAAAACUGAAAAUAAAAGUAUUGCUAACAUGUAAAACUUGUGUAGAACAAAUGCUAUGAGUUUCACUAAUUUCUUGAGCCAAAGAAUGUUAAAUAGGUGCUGCUACCUCCCUUAAAGAACUAUGAGCCAGUGGCUUUAUGAGGAUAGAUUAUUCUUUUUUCUUUAAGGAAACUGAGAAUUUUAUGUCUGUUUCAAUCAACUGCUUCUACAUAAAUUGUAGGGCCUGUGAUUUAAAGCUAAAGCAAAUUAGAGGCUUGUAUAAUUAUUGACAUAUUUGGGACAUACCAGCAACAAGCCCUGGAAAACCACAUACAGCUCAUAAGGAGCGAUAAUGAAAUCGCUCCUCUGUCAUUCAUAUGUGAUCUCAUUCAAGUUUUAGGUGUUAGGCUAUUAUUAUUUAACAAUGUUUUUAGACAUAUAAAAUGUAUUUCUAUAGAUAUUUUAUAUGGAUGUAGUUAUUUAAGCCAGAUAGAUUUGAAUUCUAAGUCUAGCUCUAUCAGUAACUACAUUAGGCAUCUUACUUCUCUAAGCUUUAGUUUCCUUACCUGUAAAAUGGGGAUGGUAGCAGCAUCUAAUUCUCAGGAUUGUAGUAAACAUUAAAUAAAGAAAUGUAAUAGAGUGCUUAGCACAGAUCCCGUUACAUAGCAAAAGCUUAAUAAAUAUCAGCAUCACUGCCAUCAUCAUUAUUUUAUUAUUAUUAUUAUUUUUGAGACAGAGUCUCAUUUUGUUGCCCAGGCUGGAGUGCAGUGGUGCGAUAUUGGCUCACUGCAACCUCUGCCUCCCAGGUUCAAGCGAUUCUCCUGCCUCAGCCUUCCGAGUAGCUGGGAUUACAGACGCGUGCCACUACGCCCAGACAAUUUUUUGUAUUUUUAGUAGAGACGGGUUUUCACCAUGUUAGCCAGGAUAGUCUCGAUCUCCUGACCUCGUGAUCCACCCUCCUUGGCCUCCCACAGUGCUGGGAUUACAAGCAUGAGCCACCGCGCCAGGCCCAUCAUCAUUAUUUUUUAAAAUCAACCUUUAAUGAGGUUUACACACAAUAAAACGCACCCAUGAGUUUUGACAAAUGCAAUGCCUGUGUAACUACCACCCUAACUGAGAUAUAGAACAUUUACAUCAACCUUAAAUUGUUAUUUUAAAAUAGGAAAACUGGUAUCUUGUCUAGUAAUAAUAAAAAGGAGAAGUCACUGUGCAGCACAAAAUAUGGCAUCAACCAUAAAAAAGCAUGAAUAAGUGCUAACUAGAAUUAUGGGGCCAUGAGAAUGUGGCAGGAGGCGCAUUCAUUGUGAGGGAGUUGGGGACAGGUCAAAUGCACUAUACAUUAUUGCUUCUGCCUGUGCAGCAGUGAUCCCCGUUUUCCCUGUUAAAUGCGCUGUGCUUGUCCUUUAGUGGAACAACUUCACCCCAGUACUUUACGUUUUUGGAGUGGGGCUGUUUUAUCCUUGACUCCAGUCUUGUCAUUUCUAUUGGAAUUCUUAGAAAACUCUCUUCCUGCUAAUAUUGCUGGGCGUAAUUUGGAGAAGCUGAGAGAGUCACUGAGACUGAAGCCACCACAGACAAAGGUCAGCUUGGGGAUGGAGAGAGAAACCUGUGCUGUUAUCAUCUUCUAGAUCCCCAGAGGCUGCCUUGAAGCUGGAUCUACCCCUGAACUUCUCAGUUACAUAAGGACCCAUGAAUGCUUCAUCACGGAUCAGAUCUGUUCACAAGCUGGUGUUCAGGAACCAAUGUGUGACUGGUCCAUGCCCACUUCUGAUUAUAUGGACUCAGAGACAAUGUACAUGGGAGUGCUUUGCCAGUGGUAAAGUUUCUACAAAUGGGAGGUAAUUGCAUGGCAGGUGUAAAGUUAUUUGGACCAUUGAGGCCAGAAAAAAUGUAGAUUUAAAAUAUACUGAUACUGAAAGCAGAACUGUUUGAACUAAUUGCUAAUUUUAAGGAAUUCAGACAUUCAUCCAAAGGAUUUAGGCCAAAUGUUGCCUAAAUUGUUUCUCUAUUUCAUAUGAAAGUGAUUUCUGCGGCUUAACUGUUCUCUUCUAUUUAUGUGCAUGGCCAUAACUGAUGUUGUCACAUGAGUCCUGUUUCUUUCUUAUUAAACAUGUGUCCGGCUCA
rnacentral:lncRNA from 10 species